ensembl:lncRNA
CACCCAUCCACACGUGCACCCAUCCACCCCUUCACCCAUCCACACGUGCUCAUCCACCCCUUCAACCUUCACCCAUCUACCCAUCCACACGUGCACCCCUUCACCCAUCCACCCAUCCACCCAUCCACACGUGCUCAUCCACCUCUUCAACCUUCACCCAUCCACCCAUCCACCCAUCCACACGUGUACCCAUCCACCCCUUCACCCAUCCACCCAUCCACCCAUCCACAUGUGCACCCAUCCACCCAUCCACUCAGUGGUUGUUGUAGCCCUGCUCCGUAGCCGUCCAGAGGAUGUGUGUUUCACCCCCUCCAUCACUCCCAGUGAGCUCCGCAUCCGGGCCAGAUCUGGGCCAGAUACGGCUCAGAUCCGGCUCAGAGACAGCUGCCCUCCUCUGGGUCACACAGCAGUGAUGGGACGUGUGGCAUCACAGCAGAGAAGAGAAGAGAAGGCAUCACUGCAGCAACAUAAACCUCAGCUUCAGGCGUCUCAGUAGUGCCUUGUCUGGAACCCUACACCCCACACCCAAAGCCUUGUCUGGAACCCUACACCCCACACCCAAAGCCUUGUCUGGAACCCUCCACCCCACACCCAAAGCCUUGUCUGGAACCCGAACCCUCCACCCCACACCCAAAGCUCUCUCUCCCUCCUGUUGAUCUGUCCAAGACAUUCAGGUGAAUGUAUUUGUGUUGACAUUUAUGCAACGUGUGUUUAAAAAAAAAAGAAAUCCUGUACUUUUGUCUGGGAUUGAGUUUUUGAAAUGCUUUUUCUCGUCAUUCUUUCAAGCUAAUGCAAUGUAGUUAUACUGAAAGCCUGUAUCUUUGCAAAAAAAAAUGUAUAAUAACCAUUCAAAUAAGAUGUUUGUCAAUACAGUAUAUAUCACUCUUGUAUAAAUGUUUUUACGAAAUAUAUAUGAAUAUAAAUAUAUUUGUACGUCAUCCCUCAGUGACAUAAAGCUCUUAGUGUGUACAGUGUAUCCCCAUUACUGCUCGUGACCAUUAUCUUCAAGACCUGUACUUAAUGAAAUGAAAAAUGUUGUUGGGGAUUUGGACUUGGUGCUGUUUGCGUACUCUUUGAGCAUACUCAAAAAGCCCCUCUACAGACAGUCAUUUAGUGUGCAUACUCAAAAAGCCCCUCUGCAGACAGACAUCAUUUAGUGUCCAUACUCUUUGAGCAUACUCAAAAAGCCCCUCUGCAGACAGUCAUUUAGUGUGCAUACUCAAAAAGCCCCUCUGCAGACAAGUCAUUUAGUGUGCAUACUCUUUGAGCAUACUCAAAAACAGUCAUUUGCCAGACCAGGCACUCGUACCCUGUGCCAGUAGGCCAGGCCCUUAAUCUCAGUCAUUUCAGCUUGGACAUUUCCUGUGAUGGCAGUGGUCCUCUCGUGCAUUUCAAAUGCAGUUAAACUCAAAGAGUGCCAGCAGGUCAGCCCCAUCUCGACAGAGGUCAAAGGUCAGGCGAGUUCACACAUUUAGUGUUUAUUCCUCGUCGUUUUCUCAUCAAGCGUCAUAUUUCACCUUCUCGUUGACUGAAGAGCUUAGACUGACAGGCUGCUGGAAGCGUGUGCUGGAUGCGUGUGCGAGGCUGCUGGAAGCCUGUGAGAGGCUGCUGGAUGCGGUGUGUGUCCGUGACUGAGAUGCGAUGCGUGUUGCGUGUCCACGACUGAGAUGCAUUCUGUAUUUCCUUCCUGAGUGCAGCUGGCCAGACAGAGAGAAUGUGCAUGUUGAUGCCGUGUGUGUGUGUGUGUGUGUGUGUGUGUGUGUGUGUGUGUGUGUUGAUGCCGUGUGUUCUCCGUGACCUUCCGCUCUUUUCUGCAUUUUUACUGACUGCCUCGAGUCGAGUGUGGACUGACUGACUGACUGACUGACUGACUGACUGACUGACUGACUGACUGACUGACUGACUGACUGACUGACUGACUGUGUGUGUGACUGACUGACUGACUGACUGACUGACUGACUCUAUUGCUGACUGCAGUAAUUGGCAGCAGUCAGUGUUUGUUGCAGUUGGACUCCAGGACUGAUUCUUGUCAGUGAAACUCCAAAUAUGAAGAGCUUUGUGCAGGUUAGCUGUGUAGCUGAUGGCGGAUGUUGUGGCAGCUCAGUAUUCACUGAAGUUGAGUUGCGUUUGUUUCAACUCAUCCUUGCUUUUCCCACCUUUUCCUUUUUUAUGUUGGACAGAACCUAAAGUAGUAUUUUGAGAUCUUAUUUCUAUUUGUUCAUUUAUGAACUCAGAGACACUAAAGUGUAAAGUUAAUGCAUAAUAAAGAUGUUUUUUUGGCUUGUUUUGCACACUUUGAUGUUACCGUAGGCACAGUGUGUGGUGUGUGUGUGUAGUUUUUCCCCGGCGGAGUUGUUGUGAACGGAUGGCAAAGUUAAGUGGACUGGAUGGUGUUGGUGUGUAUUCCAGUGGGAUAUGUCACAUGGGCGGUCUUUGAGUCACUAACGGUGGUGUGUCAACUUGAGUCAGAGAAAUUGUUGGAUUGCGUAAGAAUAGACUGUGUGUGUGUGUGUGUGUGUGUGUGUGCUGUCAUUCCACCUAGCAAAUGGGUGCUCCCACAGGGCCAACAAUGCCGAGCCACAUUCUCUCCACAUUUUUUAUAGUUUCUUAUAAACCAUUUCUGCAACCAGUCAUUUAGAUGUUUUUUCCGUUGUAAUUGAAUCCCCCAGUCACACACUCCCAGUCAUUGAGAUGCAGGCAUUGUUUGGUAGAAUGUUCCAUUGUUUAGAGUUAUGAAACCGGCAUCUGAGACACGGAGACGGAGACGGAGACAAAAGGGGGAGGGAAAGCAGAGAUGUGCAGAAAUCUGUUUCCCAAAAAAACCGCAGCUUCAGCCUCUCCUGAAGUCUGUGGAGACCGACCGAGACGGGGAUUUGAAACAGGUUUGAACAAGUUCACGGCUCAAUGAGGUACAGCCUAGGUGGUAUUUAUCCCCCCCCCACGUGACUAAAAGUCCACACCUGGAUUAGAACAUCACCAUGGUUGCCAAAAAAAGACUCAACUAACACUGACAACAGUAAUGUGGUUCUUUUUUUUUUUUUGGUUUCUCUGACAUUUUAUUGUUGUUGUUGUGUUCAUCUCCCUAAAUGGAGCCCCAGUUUCUCCACCAACCCUCCUCAGUAGUCUUGACAUCACCAAAUUGAGAGAUGUUGACGAGAGAAGAAUUGGCUUUGCACACUCGAGCAAGCCUCAGGACAAGGGUUCUGCAGGCCCGUUCAAUGGCACCAAAGCUGUUUUGGACCCAAUCUCUCUUUGCCUUUUAUCCGUAAAAAAAAUGUAUGUCUGACCGUGGACUACUGGUGUCUUGUCGAGUAGUAGAAAAAGAAGUCCAUGAUUUAAAGUACUGUGCAUAGAAUCUUUUACUUUUCUGUUCAACACAAUAAGCUGAUUUGUUACUUCGACUGUAUUUUUGUGAAAUAAAAGGUAUUUUAUCACAGAACGGCUUUGUUUCUUUCUUGGCAAGAG